CGUCCGGGUCAGCGCACCUAGCGGGUUAGUGAAGGGAAGAUAAAUUGAAAAAGAUCGCCCAUUGUAGAGUCACAUGUCAAAAAUAGAUCGCUUUCGACGUUUCGAGAAAGCAUUCACGUUUCAUCACUUACUCCAGACGAUUCAUCAUAACUGUGGGCAGUGCUCGGCGUAUCGUAAACAUUAUAGUAUCAAAUAGUGAAUCAUUCAAACAACACCAAGAUGACGACGAGGAAGUCAUUGAUAAUGGUUUUGUUCUUGAUGGUGAUAGUUUGCCAUGUUUCGACCAGGCCAUUCCAAGCUGGAAAUAUCCUUACAGAUCACACUGGAGGGGAACCCGAUGCUUUUAAAACGAGGCGUUCAAGAGAAUUAACCAGAGGUGACUUCGGCAAGUCCCAGAUGGAGGCGGGGACAACAGUGACGCCUUUCCGACUCCCAGAUGGACGUGUACAACGAGUUGGUUGACGAUCACAUUUCAAGAGCAGUGGCUCAUUUUUCUACUUAUUGUUCAUGUAGGGACAACGUUUGUACCGCUUGUCUGUCGCCACCGCCCUUGUAGGUGUCAUUUAAGAAUAACGCUUGUCAUACAUAUAGUAUUCUUGUUUGUUUUAUGUACACCAUCGUUACUAUAAACAAACAUAGAGACACCAAGACCAAUGACAAUAGAUCUAUUUGGGAAAGAAUAGUAUACCUAUUAAUAUUUGCGGGUGUUAUGGACUAUUUGAAUAUUUCCAAUGUUUAAGUGCAUAGAAAUUAAAUUAAGUGAGAGUUUUAUGAUAAAUGUGAUCAAAUUUAAUAGAUGAUGAAUUAUAAUAAUAUAUAUUAUUCACAGUGAUAUUUAAAAAGAUUUGAUACAUUGCAAGAAAAGUAUUUAUAACGUCGGAAGAUCUGACACCAGCUAGACUAUAAAGGCUACCAAAGAGUCUAUAACGUUUUUUUUCAACAAUAUUAUUUUUUCUUUAGUGUUAUUUUCUAAGGCCGGCACACACUGAAGUAGCGCAGGACAUCAGUGCGGUUUCCUAGCCCACAUUUAACGCAUUAUACUUUUACAGCUGCAGCUCAGAAAAAAAAUAAUUCUUUAAAUAGAAUUGAAUGUAUAUUAAUUUAUUGCAUGUUGAUGAAGGCCAGAUUUUCAUCAACAUAGAUCCCCUGUGAACCUUGUCACAAAGCAAGGACUGGGAAAUACGUGAGAAGAAUGAAUUAAUAAUGAUGUAUCUCUACCGGAGAAGACAAAUAAAAACGAAAGUAAAACAUCAUAUUAUCUUCAGUGUGGCAGGGCAGCAAGUAGAAAAAAUAUCUUUUGAGCGACCUAAAAUGUUCAUAUCUACGCGCUGCUGAUGCGCUGCUUUAGUGUGAUGAGAAAAACACGGAUGCGAAUUUUGGGCUGCAUGUGGACCGGCCUUAUGCUGAUUUCAUUGUGGAAUAUGGCUAGUUGGGUUUGCCUAUAUGUGUUCAUCUAGAAUGUUUUUUUCAUUGAUUAAAUUAACUGCAUAUAUUCCACAUUCGUGGUUGCUGGCAAUACAUGAUUUGGUACAACUAGUUGAGUUCAUUCGUGGCUAAUUAUAUUAUGACUGUUGUUACCUUUGCUACUUAAUAUUGUAUUGGUUACAUUGCUUUUAAGUGUGCAAAUAAAGUUUCUAUCAAACAA